rnacentral:rRNA from 1 species
AUACAUGCAGUCGAGCGGACCGACGGGAGCUUGCUCCCUUAGGUCAGCGGCGGACGGGUGAGUAACACGUGGGUAACCUGCCUGUAAGACUGGGAUAACUCCGGGAAACCGGGGCUAAUACCGGAUGCUUGAUUGAACCGCAUGGUUCAAUCAUAAAAGGUGGCUUUUAGCUACCACUUGCAGAUGGACCCGCGGCGCAUUAGCUAGUUGGUGAGGUAACGGCUCACCAAGGCGACGAUGCGUAGCCGACCUGAGAGGGUGAUCGGCCACACUGGGACUGAGACACGGCCCAGACUCCUACGGGAGGCAGCAGUAGGGAAUCUUCCGCAAUGGACGAAAGUCUGACGGAGCAACGCCGCGUGAGUGAUGAAGGUUUUCGGAUCGUAAAACUCUGUUGUUAGGGAAGAACAAGUACCGUUCGAAUAGGGCGGCACCUUGACGGUACCUAACCAGAAAGCCACGGCUAACUACGUGCCAGCAGCCGCGGUAAUACGUAGGUGGCAAGCGUUGUCCGGAAUUAUUGGGCGUAAAGCGCGCGCAGGCGGUUUCUUAAGUCUGAUGUGAAAGCCCCCGGCUCAACCGGGGAGGGUCAUUGGAAACUGGGGAACUUGAGUGCAGAAGAGGAGAGUGGAAUUCCACGUGUAGCGGUGAAAUGCGUAGAGAUGUGGAGGAACACCAGUGGCGAAGGCGACUCUCUGGUCUGUAACUGACGCUGAAGCGCGAAAGCGUGGGGAGCGAACAGGAUUAGAUACCCUGGUAGUCCACGCCGUAAACGAUGAGUGCUAAGUGUUAGAGGGUUUCCGCCCUUUAGUGCUGCAGCAAACGCAUUAAGCACUCCGCCUGGGGAGUACGGUCGCAAGACUGAAACUCAAAGGAAUUGACGGGGGCCCGCACAAGCGGUGGAGCAUGGGGUUUAAUUCGAAGCAACCCGAAAAACCUUACCAGGUCUUGACAUCCUCUGACAACCCUAAAAAAAAGGGCUUCCCCUUUCGGGGGCAAAAUG